CACCCAGGAUUCAAACCAGCGAACCCCAGGCCGCCGAGAAGCAGACGUGCAAACUUAACCGCUGUGCCACCAGACCCGCCCCUGGAAGUUCGUUUUAAUGCAGUGGUUUGCAAGUUUCCCCCUGAAUUUCAAAAAGCUUACUCGGCCUUAUGCUACAGAUGAACAUGCAUGGACUGUGAGUGUGACAGACGUGGGUUCUUUAGCCAACUUGCUCUUUGAUAUAAAGGCCAGUUACUGGAUUGUAAUUAGUUUUUGGGUGGUGAACAUGAUGAAAUCUACACAGAAUUUGAAAUAUAUUAUGAUGCACCCCUGAAAGUUAUAUAAUAUUAUAAACCAAUGUUACUGCAAUAAAAAAAUAAAAUAAAAAUAAAGGCCAGUUACUUCACCUCAAGUUCUCAUCUUUGAAAUGGUGUUAGGAAUACUUAACUCAAAUUUCACUUGUCAGUUAUACCUCAAUAAAGCUGAGUAAAAAGAAAAUUAACUCAAAGGAUUGUUUAAAAGUAAGGCUUAAAUGACAUAAUGUUGGUAAAGUCAGCACAUUGAUGACACAUAAUAAAUGAUUCUUCUCACCUUGCCCUGUCCAGCAAAAGUUACAGGUAACAUUUACUCAUAAUACAGAUGGCCAGGAUAACUUGAGUAUUAUAAUUUAUUUUUAAUUGCCAUUACAUCAGUUCACUGAGAGAUCAUUUCUUUCAGAAAUAUUAGCCUGCUGAUCCACAGUCCUGUUUUGACAGUAUAUGUCUGUAAUUAAAACAAAUGAAAAACAUAGUUCUUUUCUAAAACUGUAUUUCUUUUGGUAACCAAAUUGUCUUAAAAUCUGGUGCAGAACAAUAAAACAUCAAUAAAAAGGUUCCUUUGGCUAGAGAACCACAGGAUUAGUAUGUCAGGACGUGUUCUGAGGAAUGAACACUAGAUGGCAGCCUUUAGACACGAUUGUCUGGGUCACUGACAAGAAUCUUUCUUACCCAAGGGUUCCCACUUCCCCAGGGACCCUCCCACUUGCCUCCAUCAGGACAGCAGUUACUAACCAAGAAACUGAAGCAUUGUAGCAGCUUCUGAGGAGAGAAGAUUGAAUAAAAAGCAGAGAAACAACAACGAAAAACUAAGCUGUAAGCCUCUCCCCUUAUUAUAUUGUACUUUCCUUUUAAAAGUGAUUUCAUCUUUGCGGUGAUGGAGAGGGCAGAGCAGGGGGAGAAGGGAAUCUUCCUGAAUCAAUUCUAAAGACCUUACUAUGUUGUUCAUCUUAACGGCUUGUCUACAAAUACAGAGGCUGUUUCCCCACAUGCAGGAGUGGCCAUGAGACUGGGCCUGACCAGUGAGAUUCAAGAGGAAGUCUGCUGAUUGAUCUAUUGGGUUUGUGAAGAUGAACACUUUGGCAGUACAAGAAGAGGAAAGGAAGGGAAAUGAACAUUCGUUUAUUCAUAACUCACAAUGGUUGUAUCUCACUAAUGAGGAACAGAGGCGAAGCAAGCUCAAGAUCUGCUACAACAUCCACUUCCAGACAGUGGCGGAGCCGGGACUCAGCCAUGGGGAUUGUGGUCAGAGAGCUGAGCUUCUGCUCCCACCUCACAGCAAGUGAUCAUUUGCUGUGAGGUGGCUCCCUUGCUUGCCCAGAGCACUGAUGUCUUUGUAUGAUAUUUUUCCCAUUACAAAACACAUUACAUUUUAAAAAAUAGUAAAUUUUAUUUAAAAAAUUAAUUUCAAAGGGAAGAGAUAGAACAAGAAAAGUCUGUUUUCUUUUGGAUCUAUAGAAAGAGCAGUAUUUAUUCUUUAUGCAAUGAAAUUUACAAUCUGAGUGAGGCCUUUCAGAGCCAAGCAGUUAUGUUCAGCCAGUGGCUAGCCGUGCAUUGAAAUCCCAUGAUGUAUACAAGAACAGCCUAGGCCUGAAAGCAAAUGCUGUACGCACCUGUUUAUUUAUUUAUUUAUUUUGGUGAGGAAGAUUGGCUCUGAACGAACAUCUGUUGCCAAUCUUCCUC